UACAGGGGGGGCAAGCGUUGUUCGGAAUUACUGGGCGUAAAGGGUCUGUAGGUGGCCAACUAAGUCAGACGUGAAAUCCCUCAGCUUAACUGGGGAACUGCGUCUGAUACUGGAUGGCUUGAGUCCGGGAGAGGUGAGUGGAACUGCGAGUGUAGAGGUGAAAUUCGUAGAUAUUCGCAAGAACACCAGUGGCGAAGGCGGCUCACUGGCCCGGUACUGACGCUGAGGUGCGAAAGCGUGGGGAGCAAACAGG
rnacentral:rRNA from 1 species